rnacentral:ncRNA from 1 species
GUGUUCGUUGAGCCGAGAGAAGGUUAGCAACCCCCUUGACAAGGACGGGAAUUGGCUUCGGCCAUUCACACACCAUGAGGUUAUUAA